ensembl:lncRNA
UCACACUUGACUCCCCUCACAUGUUUUGGCCGUCGGUGUUGAAUACUGCAAAUUAGAGUUCGUUAAAAGAUUAUUCAGGAAAGCCGUUUCCUGGUAAGAAAGGUCCGACUGACGGACAAAAUAUUUCUCUUGAGCACUUUAACUUUAACGAUGAAAAGAUUGAGGCAACUCGAAAUUCGUACCGGUGUCUCCGGGGGCCCAGAUGGCGUUCCAGCGCUCGCUCACUGCAGACUGCAGCCAUGUGAAAGUGCUCUGCUCACGCCUCAACAGUAGCUGAACGGUGAUAUCGUUCCAUCCCAUGACUGCCUCUCCAUCCACCUGACGGAUUUCAUAUGAUGUAAUUUUAUUGGACACAUGGUUUAACAAGUAACAACAAAGUUUUUCUCUGCAACACAGUAUGCUGGAAAAAAUAGGAGAAGCAACUCGUCAAACUGUC